rnacentral:rRNA from 1 species
UACGUAGGGGGCUAGCGUUGUCCGGAAUCAUUGGGCGUAAAGCGCGCGUAGGCGGCCAGAUAAGUCCGGUGUGAAAGCCACAGGCUCAACCUGUGAAUGCCGCUGGAAACUGUCUGGCUAGAGUCCGGGAGGGGCGAGUGGAAUUCCUGGUGUAGCGGUGAAAUGCGCAGAUAUCAGGAGGAACACCAGUGGCGAAGGCGGUUCUCUGGGCAUUACCUGACGCUGAGGAGCGAAAGUGUGGGGAGCGAACAGG